CCUACGGGUGGCAGCAGUGAGGAAUAUUGGGCAAUGGGCGGAAGCCUGAACCAGCCAAGUCGCGUGAGGGAAUAAGGCCCUACGGGUCGUAAACCUCUUUUGCAGGGGAGCAAGGGCGGGGACGUGUCCCGGCCCGGAGAGUACCCGGAGAAAAAGCAUCGGCAAACUCCGGGCCAGCAGCCGCGGUAAUACGGAGGAUGGGAGCGUUAUCCGGAUGUAUUGGGUUAAAAGGGUGCGUAGGCGGGCUUUUAAUUCAGCGGUAAAAAUUCGGGGCUCAACCACGUCCGGCCGUUGAAACUGGGGGCCUGGAGUGGGCGAGAAGAAGGCGGAAU
rnacentral:rRNA from 1 species